GAUGAACGCUGGCGGCGUGCUUAACACAUGCAAGUCGAACGGAAAGGCCAUGCUUUUGUGGGGUUCUCGAGUGGCGAACGGGUGAGUAACACGUGUGUAACCUGCUCCUGAAUUUGGGAUAACUUCAGGAGAAUGGGGUUAAUACCGGAUAAGAGCUCCUGCUGCACGGUGGGGGUUGGAAAGUUUCGGCGGUUGGGGAUGGGCUCGCGGGUUAUCAGCUUGAUGGGGGGGUAUGGGCUUACGAAGGCUUUGGCGGAUAGCCGGCCUGAGAGGGUGGCCACCGACAUGAGGACUGAGGUACGGAGCAGUCGCGAACGGUAGGCAACGGUGGGGAGUAUGGCGCAGUGAGGCGAAGCGUGAGACAACGGCCCUGGGUGCGGAAUGAAGGCCUUCGGGGGAUGAACCGCUUUCGCCUGUGACGAAGCGUGAGUGACGGUAAUGGGUAAAGAAGCACCGGCUAACUACGUG
rnacentral:rRNA from 1 species